GUGGCUGUAUGAUCUUAAGUAAGCUCAUUUUGCUUCAAUUUUCUUAUCUAGAAAAUGGGGAUAAUAACACCCAUGUUAUAGAGUUAUUCUGAUGAUUUCUAAGAGUCUCAGAGACCUAGGAUCCACAAAAUCAAAACAACAAAACCAAGCCUUUGUGCACAUCUGUGGUUGUGACCAGUUGGAGAGACAUUAGGAGAUGAGAUACUAUGUUCACUCCUCACAGCUGUACCAGGGACCUGAGAUAUUCCAUCACUAUUCUGAUUUUGGAGAUCCCACCAGUGGUUUUCCGGUGCCAGGGUAUGAGAAGAUAGUCUCUAUGUCCAAACUCACAAUUUAAGAACAAAUUUCAUCAAGAUAAAG